UACAGAGGUGGCAAGCGUUGUUCGGAAUUACUGGGCGUAAAGGGCGCGUAGGCGGCCUUCUAAGUCAGACGUGAAAUCCCCAGGCUUAACUUGGGAACUGCGUCUGAUACUGGGAGGCUUGAGUGCGGGAGAGGGAUGUGGAAUUCCAGGUGUAGCGGCGAAAUGCGUAGAUAUCUGGAGGAACACCGGUGGCGAAGGCGGCAUCCUGGACCGACACUGACGCUGAGGCGCGAAAGCUAGGGGAGCGAACAGG
rnacentral:rRNA from 1 species